AGCUCCAAUAGCGUAUAUUAAAGUUGUUGUGGUUAAAAAGCUCGUAGUUGGAUUUCGGCGGGUAUAGGUUGGUUUGAAUUGCUUCAAUACUGACUUUUUUACCCGUGUGUUUUGCCAGAAUUUAACGGGUGAUCUUCGCCGAUUGUCUGUUAGAACUGGCAGGUUUACUUUGAAAAAAUUAGAGUGCUCAAAGCAAGCUUGAUUGCUUGAAUAUUCGUGCAUGGAAUAAUAGAAUAGGAAGUCGUUUCUAUUUUGUUGGUUUUCGGAAAUCGACUUAAUGAUUAAUAGGGACAGUCGGGGGCAUUUGUAUUCAAACGACAGAGGUGAAAUUCUUGGACCGUUUGAAGACAAACUACUGCGAAAGCAUUUGCCAAGAAUGUUUUCAUUA
rnacentral:rRNA from 1 species